AUGAAUCUCCUAUGCUGGAACUAUCCCGGGAUUGACAACACCUCGAUAGUUCAAGAGCUACACGAGCUCGCGAUAAAGUAUCCCCCUAGAGUACUUUGCAUUGUCAAAACUCAGAUUAGUGGAGUUAGGGCAGAAAAUCUAGCAAGUACAAUAGGAUAUGAUAAUUCUUUUGCCGUUGAUUCCUCCGAUAGGAGUGGAGGUUUGGCUAUCUUUUGGAACAAUGAGAUAAAGAUUGAGAAUUUGGGUUACUCGCGAUACCAUAUUGACGUAAAAGUGAGUGAUCUUGGGGGUGAUCCAUGGAGAUUAUCUUGCUUCUAUAGGGAGGCCCAGACUCACUUGCGCCAUCACACAUGGGACACAAUGAAAAAAUUAUCAGCUCUCCAUAACAUUCCAUGGGUUUGUAUUGGAGACUUCAAUGAAGUUUUGAGGCAUGAUGAGCACGAUGGAAUUGGCAGUAGGAGCCAAUCACAAAUACAAGGUUUCAGGGAUGUAGUUGACAUUUGUGGACUUGUAGACCUCGGGUACAAGGGAACAAGGUGGACUUAUGAGAAAAAAGUUACUGGUGAAUCAUACACUCGAGUACGUUUGGACAGGGCUCUUGGCUCGGUUGGAUGGUGUGAGAAAUUUCCUGAUGCAGUGGUCCAACACCUCAUGGCGGCUGUCGAUGUCAAAACCGACAGAUCUUGGGCAGGGGGUCCCGAACUGUGCGUCUAG
rnacentral:rRNA from 1 species